CAGCAGCCGCGGUAAAACGGAGGGUGCAAGCGUUAAUCGGAAUUACUGGGCGUAAAGCGCACGCAGGCGGUCUGACAAGUCAGAUGUGAAAUCCCCGGGCUUAACCUGGGAACUGCAUUUGAAACUGUCAGGCUGGAGUCUUGUAGAGGGGGGUGGAAUUCCAGGUGUAGCGGUGAAAUGCGUAGAGAUCUGGAGGAAUACCGGUGGCGAAGGCGGCCCCCUGGACAAAGACUGACGCUCAGGUGCGAAAGCGUGGGGAGCAAACAGGAUUAGAUACCCCGGUAGUCCCUGUCUCUUAUAC
rnacentral:rRNA from 1 species